rnacentral:rRNA from 1 species
AGAGUUUGAUCCUGGCUCAGAUUGAACGCUGGCGGCAGGCCUAACACAUGCAAGUCGAGCGGUAACAGAUCUAGCUUGCUAGAUGCUGACGAGCGGCGGACGGGUGAGUAACGCGUAGGAAUCUACCCAGUAGCGGGGGAUAAGCCAGAGAAAUUUGGUCUAAUACCGCAUACGCCCUUCGGGGGAAAGCAGGGGCUCUUCGGACCUUGCACUAUUGGAUGAGCCUGCGUGAGAUUAGCUAGUUGGUGAGGUAAUGGCUCACCAAGGCGACGAUCUCUAGCUGGUCUGAGAGGAUGAUCAGCCACACUGGGACUGAGACACGGCCCAGACUCCUACGGGAGGCAGCAGUGGGGAAUAUUGCACAAUGGGCGAAAGCCUGAUGCAGCCAUGCCGCGUGUGUGAAGAAGGCCUUAGGGUUGUAAAGCACUUUCAGUCGUGAGGAAAGGUGUGUGCUUAAUACGUACAUACUGUGACGUUAGCGACAGAAGAAGGACCG